AGAAUCAACGCUGGCGGCGUGCCUCAGACAUGCAAGUCGAACGCGAAAGUCCCCUUCGGGGGAUGAUUAGAGUGGCGUCCGGGUGAGUAACACGUGGGUAAUCUACCUUCGGGUGGGGAAUAACAGUCGGAAACGACUGCUAAUACCGCAUAAUGCAGCGGCACCUAAUGGUGACAGUUGUUAAAGCGGGGGAUCGCAAGACCUCGCGCCUGAAGAGGAGCCCGCGGCGGAUUAGCUAGUUGGUAGGUAACGGCCUACCAAGGCUUCGAUCCGUA
rnacentral:rRNA from 1 species